AAUAGAUACCCCGGUAGUCUACGCCGUAAACGAUGGAUACUAGCAUUCGGAGGUGUCGACCCCUUCGGUAGCGAAGCUAACGCGUUAAGUAUCCCGCCUGUGUAGUGCGGGCGCAAGCUUAAAACAUAAAGGAAUUGACGGGGACCCGCACAAGCGGUGGAGCGUGUUCUUUAAUUCGAGGAUAAGCGAAGAACCUUACCAGGGCUUGAAAUCCCGAGAAGGCUCUCGAAAGGGAGCUGUGCCUUUUGGAACUCGGUGACAGGUGCUGCAUGGCCGUCGUCAGCUCGUGUCGUGAGAUGUUGGGUUAAGUCCUGCAACGAGCGCAACCCCUAUGUUUAGUUGUAUUUUUCUAGGCAGACUGCCUCGGUAACGGGGAGGAAGGAGGGGACGACGUCUGGUCUUUAUUGCCCUUAUGUCCUGGGCUAGAAACGCGCUACAAUGGUCGGUACAAUGGGUAACAGCCAAAUCGCGAGAUGGAGCAAAUCCCACCAAAGCCGAUCUCAGUUCGGAUAAGAGGCUGAAACUCGCCCCUUUGAAGUCGGAAUCGCUAGUAACCGUAGGUC
rnacentral:rRNA from 1 species